rnacentral:rRNA from 1 species
UACGUAGGGAGCAAGCGUUGUCCGGAAUCAUUGGGCGUAAAGAGCGCGUAGGCGGUCCGGUAAGUCGGUUGUGAAAACUGGGGGCUCAACCCUCAGAGGCCGACCGAUACUGCCGGGCUAGAGUCCGGAAGAGGCGAGUGGAAUUCCUGGUGUAGCGGUGAAAUGCGCAGAUAUCAGGAGGAACACCAAUGGCGAAGGCAGCUCGCUGGGACGGUAGCUGACGCGUGAGGCGCGAAAGCGUGGGGGAGCAAACAGG